UGAACGCUGGCGGCGUGCUUAACACAUGCAAGUCGAACGAAGCUCCCGGAUCUGAUGGAUUCGUCUGAAGUGAAGGGAAGACUUAGUCGGCGGACGGGUGGAGUAACGCGUGGGUAACCUGCCGUAUACAGGGGGAUAACAGUUAGAAAUGACUGCUAAUACCGCAUAAGCGCACAGUGAGGCAUCUCACAGUGUGAAAAACUCCGGUGGUAUACGAUGGACCCGCGUCUGAUUAGCCAGUUGGCAGGGUAACGGCCUACCAAAGCGACGAUCAGUAGCCGGCCUGAGAGGGUGAACGGCCACAUUGGGACUGAGACACGGCCCAAACUCCUACGGGAGGCAGCAGUGGGGAAUAUUGCACAAUGGGGGAAACCCUGAUGCAAGCGACGCCGCGUGAGUGAAGAAGCAUUUCGGUGCGUAAAGCUCUAUCAGCAGGGAAGAAAAUGACGGUACCUGACUAAGAAGCCCCGGCUAACUACGUGCCAGCCGCCGC
rnacentral:rRNA from 1 species